AGUUGAGAAUAACUAAAUAUUUAAUUUUGAGCUGAUAUGUUUUUUUGUUAAAUUGUGCAGGACUUCCUACAAGCAAGCAAGUUGGAUGCCAAAUUCCAUGGUAACCAAAAUAGUUCAAAAACAGCUUAGCACAUCAUCUACGCGAUUUAGAAGGUUUAGAAGUGGAUGAGAAACCCUAGCCGCCUCCCUGUGGAGCAACCCUAUGUAUCUUCAUCCCCAAUUCCGAUUGUAAGCAACAUCUAGCAACGAUUCUUUUUUGUUCAACCGAUGGAGCUAUGAUGACGUUCAGGUGUUAGUGGUGUUCUGGAGGCGAAUCGAAGUUCACGUCGUCUGGUACUUUGGUAACAAUUACAUUUCGUCAAUCACGAAGUUUGCAACUUCUAGAAGCUCCAGUCCAAGAAACUUUGAUAGAGGCUGAACCAUUUUUCUCAAACAAGGUUCAGGGAGUACCAGAGAUCACACAAGAAGAAUGGAGAAGGGCUAAUUAUGCACCAAAUUACACAGCCAUGUCAUCAUUCAUUAACCGCCAUAUGACAAAUGGCAUUUUAGGAUACUUUCUGCCGAAUGUAUGCGUUGCCAUCAUAGACCAAAAUUACUUCUACCAAUGCCUGAAGAUGGCAGUCACUGGUCUUCACUGCACAGCUAGGAUCUUUGAUGAUUCUCUCGGCAGUUUGCACAUGAAUGCAAGUACAGCCACUGAAUGCCUUUAGGAUAUUUAGUGAGCGAGGUCCCGAAGUUUGCACUAAGCAACAUUGCUAUUGUCGGCCAUUGGAACUGUUAGUGAAUGUGUGGGCUUACCAUAGUGCUUGAACCAUGGUUUACAUUGAUCCAAAUUCUGGAUCACUAGAAGAACAACACUGAAUUUUAUUCGUUAAAUGAUUGGAUCGAUAUUCUAGGCGUCCCAUUGCUUCAGUUUUGUUGAUCAUGGAAAACGGAUUAUCACUAAUACCGUCAAAGGAUGCAUGAAAGGGUAUAUACGCGUUUGGCUGUAUAAAGAGAGAAGUACACGGGUUGUGUGAGCGAUCGGUGGAGACCGCGGACCAUGUCUGGAAAAAAAUGGUGUGGACACAGGUGUAUGCUUGGCUCAGAAUUCCGUCGGGUGCCAGAUUCGGUGGGAAGUAGACUGCAAAAUACUUUAUGGCGACUGUGGAAGAAUAGAAAUUGUAAACUAUUUGAUGAUAGAAACUUUUUGGUGAGCAAACUGGCUAAAGAAAUAAAAGAGGAGGCGUUCAAGUGGUGUCGAUAGAGAUUAAAGGUAUCGGGUGUGUCUUGGUAUGAAUGGGGGCAAUUUCAUUUAGCAAUUUAGAAUCAUGUUUAGUAACAUGAGUAGUGCAUUUGAGUUUUUAGUAGUAUCUGAUGUCUCUGUAAUAUGGGUCGCUUAGCGUCUUCCUAUGUGGCCGGUUUGUGGGUAAUAAAAUGUUCCGUUUUGUCGUUAAAAACAGGUGAAAAAAAACUUUUGUGGUUAUUUCAUCAUUUAUUUAUCUUUUUGUUUUGUUUAUAUCAGUAGUACGUUGGUUGUUUAA